CUCUCGGUAGCCAAGUUGGUUUAAGGCGCAAGACUGUAAUUUAUCAAUACGAAAUCUUGAGAUCGGGCGUUCGACUCGCCCCCGGGAGA
rnacentral:tRNA from 1 species